UACGUAGGGUGCGAGCGUUAAUCGGAAUUACUGGGCGUAAAGCGUGCGCAGGCGGUUGGUUAAGUCUGAUGUGAAAGCCCCGGGCUCAACCUGGGAAUGGCAUUGGGAACUGGCUGGCUAGAGUGUGGCAGAGGGGGGUGGAAUUCCGCGUGUAGCAGUGAAAUGCGUAGAGAUGCGGAGGAACACCGAUGGCGAAGGCAGCCCCCUGGGCUAGCACUGACGCUCAGGCACGAAAGCGUGGGGAGCAAACAGG
rnacentral:rRNA from 1 species